UAGUGCUGUGCAGGGCUGGGAGUUGGACUCAAUGUUUGUGGGUCCCUUCCAGCUCAACAUAUUCUGGGAUUCUGUAUCUAAGAUUUCAACUUUAUAAGAAAUUUUUCUCUUGGGUUCAAUGCUGUGGUUUAACCCCAGUCAGCAACCAAGCCCCACACAGCCACUCACUCACUCACUCACCACCAGCAGGAUCAGAGAGCACUGAAAGGAUAAAAGCCAGAAAACUCGUGGGUUAAGAUAAAGAUAAUUUAAUACAGAAACCAAAAGUUGCACACACAAGCAAAGCAAAAUGAGGAGCGGGCAGGAAGGUUUUCAGCCACGCCAAGGAGACCAGGGCCCCAUCACAUGUUACGGUAACUUGGAAAAACAAACACCACCACCCCAAAUGCCCCUUCCACUCCUCCUUCUCCCCCCAUUUUAUAUACUCAGCAUGAGGUCAUAGGGUCUGCAAUACCUGUCUGGCCAGUUUGUGUCACCUGUCCCAACUGUGUCUUCUCGCAACCUCCCAUACACGCCCAACAUACACUCCUUGACAGUGUGGCAGCAUGAAGAGACAAAAAGACUUGGCUCUGUGCAAGACCUGUUUAGCAAUAACAAAAGCAUCCAUUUUCAGCCCUCUACCCCAGCCAAACGAACUCUACCCCAACGAAUUAACUCUACCCCAGCCAAAACCAGUACACCCAUGAACGAAGAGGACCAGGAACUUCCACCUCAAAAUGAAAAAAAAACAACUUUCCUGAGUUCUGCAAGACAUUUUAUAUUCAUUCUGUCUGUUUGCUAGGAAAUUAUAAAAAACCCUGCAAUAUUUGCCUUCAAUAUUAUGAGAAACCAGAAAGCACUCAAAAAAUUCCAAGAAAGCCCUAUGAGAUUUGUUGAUUUCCAGGUCAAUGAAGAAAACAGCAUCGUCCCAGGAAAUAAGUGGAGAAAUGUGGAAUUAAGAACAGAAAGAAAGAAAUACAGAAGAUUUAACUGUAUGUUUUGCUGGCAUCAUCGUCUUAGAAAAUUUGAGGUUGAAACAGUAGAUCGUGAGGGAGGAAACAGAAGCUCAGUCCACAGUUUAACCCUAGCACUGGCACAAACAGGAAGCUGCUGCUGAAAGAGGAUUCAUCUACUAACUAAACAGCCACUGGGAUCUUUGUUGAAGUUGAAGUUGUUCUUACUGCAUAAACAUGAGGUUUUCAGCAACAGAACACCAUAGGGAAAUCAUCCUUUGGGCCUCCUAAUGCCUUGCAGUAGUUGUAGCUGCUUACAUUUUCUCUGUCUAGGUGUAGCAUAUUUAUAGGACCAUAGAAUGAAUGGUGUGGGUGGAAAGGGACCUUUAAAUGCCACGUGGUCCAAUCCCACUGCAAUGAACAUGGCUGCAAUGUCUUCAGCUACAUUGCAUUGCUCAGAGCCUGUGCAACCUAGCCUUGAAUGUUUACAGGAAUGGGACAUUCACCAUCUCUAUGGACACCCUAUUGUUCUUUUGCAUCUCUUUUUAACUCACUUUUCACAGGUAUUAAGGACUGUGCAUAACAUAAAAAAAAUUGAAUAGUCAACCUAAAAUACCUUUUUUUUGGUUGAUGAAAUUGUAUUAGAAUUUUUUUUUUUUUCUGAGAAAAUGUUUGCCUCAGAAAAGGGUAUAGUGAUAUUCAUGUAAAAAGCAGAAAAAGGUACCAUUUUUCCACGUUGUGAUUUUUUUCCUGAGACCUUUAGUAUAGAAUUAUAAAUAGCUGUGGAAAGUAAGAUGCCAUGCAGCAGUAACUAUGGAGAUAAAUGUUUACAUUUAAUCAGUAAUAUAUUUAUAUUGCUGCAUCAGGAGCAUGCAUCUUAUGGUUGCUGUUUUACUCCCCCAGGUCAAAUACGUUUCAGACGUUCAAUGUAUUAAAUUAUAUACAUGUCUAUAGUGAACAAAACCAAAUGCAACUAUAAGAGAUACUUCAAAAUAAUAAUUUUAAAACCCCCUGAAACUGCAAUUACUUCCUAUUCUGAGGAAGUAUUCUGGCAGUAUGUUACCAAUACUCAGUGAAAAAUUGAGGAUGGCAAUCCUUGCACACUAAUUUGACACAUUAAAAGAUAUGUGAAGUUAGAUGAGAAAACCAAACCUUUUUGGAAAACAAUCAUUUUUUAUUUAACAUAGUAAAGCAUUGCUCUUGUUUAACAUACAUACUGGUUUUACAUUUUUUUAAAAUAAACCUAUCUGGUUGCAA